UACGUAGGGUGCGAGCGUUGUCCGGAAUUAUUGGGCGUAAAGAGCUCGUAGGCGGUCUGUCGCGUCGGUCGUGAAAACCUGCAGCUUAACUGUGGGCUUGCGGUCGAUACGGGCAUGACUGGAGUUCGGCAGGGGAGACUGGAAUUCCUGGUGUAGCGGUGAAAUGCGCAGAUAUCAGGAGGAACACCGGUGGCGAAGGCGGGUCUCUGGGCCGUUACUGACGCUGAGGAGCGAAAGCGUGGGGAGCGAACAGG
rnacentral:rRNA from 1 species